rnacentral:tRNA from 1 species
UAGCUCAGUUGGUAGAGUGCUUGCCUUGAAUGCACAAGGCUCUGGGUUCAAUCCCCAG